rnacentral:rRNA from 1 species
GUCCACGCCGUAAACGGUGGGUACUAGGUGUGGGUUUCCUUCCUUGGGAUCCGUGCCGUAGCUAACGCAUUAAGUACCCCGCCUGGGGAGUACGGCCGCAAGGCUAAAACUCAAAGAAAUUGACGGGGGCCCGCACAAGCGGCGGAGCAUGUGGAUUAAUUCGAUGCAACGCGAAGAACCUUACCUGGGUUUGACAUGCACAGGACGCUGGUAGAGAUAUCAGUUCCCUUGUGGCCUGUGUGCAGGUGGUGCAUGGCUGUCGU